CGCGACAAGGCAGCUAGAAGUAACUGUGAAAUUUGGAAAAUUCUUUGAAAUUGAAAUUGAACAUUAUCUUCAUGGAUUAGAUAUCCAAGCUAAAGAUAAACUGAAGCCUGCUCCAGACACCAGGGCUUUUCCACUUCAUGAAGACACUAGGAGACAAUGAGAACAUCAUCCAUGAUUAUAUUAAAUGACAUUUCAUCUACUGCAACCAUUUCUCCAUUCAGAGAUUUAAGAAGGGACAAUCAACAGUUGAUAUAAACAAUACCCCACAGAAUCCAUCAUUCUUCAAGCUUUUCAUGUGCUAUACUGAAACCAAGCUGACAGCACAUGCUAUAGAAAACAUCUUCCAGGUGAAGCUUUGUGUUCAUGGAAGAGUCUCUGGCUAAUGGGGAGAUUACCUGCUACAUGUACCUGCCAUUUGGACUGUGUACUUCAGUAUUACACAGUGUUACACAUGCAGAAAACAAGACAGGCCUCUCUAUUCAGGAUGUGCUGA